rnacentral:rRNA from 1 species
UUACGGCCAUAUCAUAUUGAAACAUUGGUUCUCGUACGACCACUAAAGUUCAGCAACAUCGAGCCUGGUCAGUACGUAGAUGGGUGACCGCUUGGCAAUACCAGGUACUGUACG